GAGAGUUUGAUCCUGGCUCAGGACGAACGCUGGCGGCGUGCCUAAUACAUGCAAGUCGAGCGGACAGAUGGGAGCUUGCUCCCUGAUGUUAGCGGCGGACGGGUGAGUAACACGUGGGUAACCUGCCUGUAAGACUGGGAUAACUCCGGGAAACCGGGGCUAAUACCGGAUGGUUGUUUGAACCGCAUGGUUCAAACAUAAAAGGUGGCUUCGGCUACCACUUACAGAUGGACCCGCGGCGCAUUAGCUAGUUGGUGAGGUAACGGCUCACCAAGGCAACGAUGCGUAGCCGACCUGAGAGGGUGAUCGGCCACACUGGGACUGAGACACGGCCCAGACUCCUACGGGAGGCAGCAGUAGGGAAUCUUCCGCAAUGGACGAAAGUCUGACGGAGCAACGCCGCGUGAGUGAUGAAGGUUUUCGGAUCGUAAAGCUCUGUUGUUAGGGAAGAACAAGUACCGUUCGAAUAGGGCGGUACCUUGACGGUACCUAACCAGAAAGCCACGGCUAACUACGUGCCAGCAGCCGCGGUAAUACGUAGGUGGCAAGCGUUGUCCGGAAUUAUUGGGCGUAAAGGGCUCGCAGGCGGUUUCUUAAGUCUGAUGUGAAAGCCCCCGGCUCAACCGGGGAGGGUCAUUGGAAACUGGGGAACUUGAGUGCAGAAGAGGAGAGUGGAAUUCCACGUGUAGCGGUGAAAUGCGUAGAGAUGUGGAGGAACACCAGUGGCGAAGGCGACUCUCUGGUCUGUAACUGACGCUGAGGAGCGAAAGCGUGGGGAGCGAACAGGAUUAGAUACCCUGGUAGUCCACGC
rnacentral:rRNA from 1 species